CCCCCGCAGCCUCGCCCGCGGGGCGGGCGACGAUCGUGCAGGGGCGUCUGCCCCGGGACCAAGCAGGCAGGGCGGUGCAGGGGUCCCAGCACUUUCUAGCAGUGCGCGCGCCCUCCGGCCUCUGCCUCGGGACGCAGAUCCCGGCCGCUCGGAGGCGGGUGCUGGAUGUCGGCGCUCAGCUGCCAGAGCCCGGGUCCCCGCCCCCGAAACACACUACGCCAACGGCGGUCCAGAAGACCCCACUUCCGCCUCCAGCUCCCGGCGCCGGAAGUCCUCGCGGGUCUCGCCGGGAAACUACGCAGCGCGUGCGCUGGGGCAAGCAUUGGCUCCCUACAUUCCCCGGUUCCCAAAAAGCCGUUAGUAGUCUGAGCCCGCCUUCUCCCUGACUGAUGGCCAAUGAACAGGAAGAAUUCUCAGGCCGGCUAUUAGAAGACGGAAACACCAUACGAGUCAUACACCUGCAUCCGGGCGGAAAGGCAUCCCAGAGCCGCGAGCCGCCUCGCACAGCCCGCGCGUUUUCUCUGCUCCCCCGCGCUCUCCGCCGGCCGUGGCCGCACGACAGCUGGCAGCACAGUCAGCCACUGUUUGGGAGCCGGGAAGAAGCUCCAGCGCCGCAGCAGGUGCUGCGAAGCCACUCAGCCCUGGUGCAGGAACCAGUGCAGCUAAUUGGCGGGCAGUCAUCGGAGACGGAAGUGGCCGCCCAAAGCCAGAAGUGGUCCUGGCCCUGAGCCAUGUCCUCUCUAGGACUGCAGGAGGCUCGGCAUCUCGGUGAUAGACCCAGGAAGUCAGUGGCGGGGCAGAGCGGGGCGGGCUGUGAGGACUGAGGCCUGCAGCAAAACGGAGUCCAGCCCUUUGGUCUUGGCUUCCUUCGGUAACGAACGCCCUGUUAAAGGACAUCCCUAUAGAAGUUCUGCUGCGUAUGAUCCAGCCGUCCCCACUCCUCCUGGGAGAGGUACAAGGCCACGUCCUCAAAGGUCACUGGCAUCUGAAACAAUGUGAAACAUCCACUCUCCAGGACACGCUGUGGACACAGUGGAGGGACACUAUGACAUGAGAUGUGUGGCGAGAUCCCAGACUCCCAACCCGCUGUCUCGAGUGAGGCCACGUGCAUCUGAUGGGGAAGCGGUGAGUCACCCGAGGCCUUUUGGGGAGUUGAGAAAAGACCAAACGUAUUUUCAGGGACUACAGUGAAGACUCGGAUGUCCAUGCAGCCCCCAUCCUCAGCUCAGACGGCUCCCAACACCUUCCAAUGAAAGCCCCUGUGUCUCUGCUUCCUGCUGCUUCUCCUCCAGCUUUGGCCAGGCCUGACUGUGGGCCUCAAGCCUGGACAAUUCCAGCAGCACUAACAAGAGCCCCAGGCUUCGGGCUUGGUUGCAAGUGGGGCUAGCGAGGUCCCGGCUUUGCGCAGAACCAGCAGAUGCAGGAAGAACUGAGCACCAAGCAGGGGCCGGGGAAGGGCCACUCACCUGGGACCAGGCGGUGAGGAGCGCCGCGGCCAUCUGCCGGUCUCUGGUCCUCCCCUCUCGGGAAAGCACUGGGAUCCGGGGGGAGGGGAGGGCUGUGGGAGGAGAGUGGUCCUCAGGGUGACGAGCUCAUCCUGCUGGACCUGCUGCUACCCUAGCUGCCUCAAACUCCACCCCUGGCCCAACCCAAGGACAGGGUCAGAUGGCUCUGAGGCUGCCGGGGGCAGGGGGCCAUGGGGAAAGCGCAUCCCCUGCCGGCAUAGAGACCCUCAGCCCCACCUGGACCUGGGCCGAGCCUUGACCUCCCCACAGCUGCCUCCCUGGGAAAGCCCCUUUUCCCCAUCCCUCUCCUACCUCCUCCAGGCAAGAAGAGGGCUUUCUCCUUAGAGCCAUGACUUAGGGGUGCCCAGCCCCGUGCACCUUGAGCCCCGUCCUCCUGCAAUGCCGCCUCGGGGUGUGGCUCCUCUGGCUCCAUCUUAAUGUGGGAUGACUCCUGAGUGGCCCCUGGAGGCACUGCCUCCCCCUAGCCCAGAAAGCAUUUCCUGACGAGGAUGUCCGCUAUCUGGAACCUAGAAGGAACAGCCCCAUCAGGAGCCGGAUGAGUGGGAGAGACACCCAGAGCUGCCUGCCAGGGCGUUCCAGCAGGGUCUGAACCCACACGCAAGACGAAGCUUGAAGGACUGGCCUUGUUGCCUCCACUCCGGCUCACCCCAGUAAGGACAGGCAGCAAGAGGAGGAAUAUUCAUUACCCUGCCACCACGGUGCAGAUCCCCAGAGAGUGAAAACUUGUGACAGCAGCCACGGGAGACGAACACAGCACAGCUGGGGAGGAGACAACGGCCCCCACAGAGCUCCAAAGCUUCAGGAAAGUCGGGGAGGGCCCUGGUGGGGCCUCAUGUACAGCACAGGGACUGGCCAGCCUUCUGCUGGGGCCUCACACCUUCCUCCAUGCCCUAUCUAUGUUUGGGUCUUGGAGGGAAAGAACCUCAGGCCAGGAGUCAGGGUGCCAGACCUGGCGACACCCCUUCCCAGCCAGGCAGCCUUUGGGACAUAGCUGCUCUUCACCUGCACAGAGCAGUCAUGAGGUUCACACAGAUAAUGAUGGAGGAGCUGCUGGCUCAGGAAAGUCCUGGAUAAACACAGGUUGGCACUGGUCAUGCUUCCCUUCCUGUGCACACCGGACAGAAGCCAGUGCCAGCAGAGAAUGCUGACCUGUGGGGCUCCACUCACAGGCACAGGGUGUUCAGGGCACAUGGUAGACAGGAAACCUAACCAUGCUAACAAUUCUUUAUGCUUCUGUGGUGUGAAAACCAUAGAUGAUGGCAUCUCAUGCCUAGUAUCUCCUUAGAGCCUCUCAAUGACCCUGCGAGGCAGGUGGGAAUGGCAGGUAUGUGAUCUGCAUGUUAUAGUGACACAUCUGGUUCCAGAGGCCAGGGGAUUGGCCCCUGGCCUGUGGCUGACUCAUACUCCUCCGACUCCAAGCCCAGAGACCCAGGUCCCCUGCAAAUAGUAAUCACACACACACACACACACACACACACACACACACACACACACUCAAACACACAUGCAUGCACAUACAGGCAGCAGGUAUAGGCAGGAAGAAGGACUGGGAGCUCAGACUCAGAGAGAUGAGAAGUUGUGGUUCCAGAUAGAGAAGCACAGGGAGGGAGAACAGGUUUCCCUGUGUGCUCUGAGUGUUGCUCAGAUAGAAAACUUCACCAAUAGGACCCCCAACCAGCCCCCUGCUGUCUCCUGUGGCCACUGACUACAGAAUUCACCAGGAGAGCAAAACUGUUAUCCUGCUAAUUCUGGACAGAGGGUACUACCCAGCAUGCUACCUUCUCUUUGACCCCCCCACCCCAGUGAGUCUAACUCUUCCAUGGGUCCAGACUCCCUGCCUUGGAAAUCUCCUCCUCACCAGCCUCUCCCAUGGCACGCCUCCCUCACCCGGCCCCAUCCGUACCUCCAGGGCUGUCUCCUUGUCCUGGGUGGUCUGGAUGCCUCCACCGUCUGCAGACAUUUUCUAUUUCAGAACUAGAAAGAACAGCUGAGUUGUUGCUCCCUCUUCUUGGCCAAGCCCCCUCCAGCUUCUGGCCAGGAGCCUGGAAGAGCAGAUAGAAACCAGCCCUCGCUUCCUGGUCACCUCCAAAGAGCCCCGAAAAUCCCCAUGAGGAGCAGCACUGCCUGGUCCCCAUCGAAAAGAAAGUCUCUCAGACCCUAUCCAACGGUGCCACUCUCUGUGAUGUUUUCUGGGUCCUGUUUUUGAAGGAGUGCUAUUUUGUACUGUCCCCUUUAUUGCUGAAGCAAGAGCCUGACAUCUCAGCGCAGUCGGCUCAGGGAAAGCCGGGGCUAAAUUGGAAUUUGUAUUUCCUGUCAUCAGGAGCAGAAAGUUCUGCAGUGAUCCUGAGAAACAGGUGCCGGAGGGACCCCGCCCACCAGGGCCAGGGGAAUCCAGGCCCUGCUAUCCCCAGCCUCGGGACAUGCACCCUGUGUCCAUACCUGACUCCCAGCCCUACUUGAGAUUCAGAAAUCAACCUGCCUGCUCUCAGUAGCGCCUCUGCAGAUGCAACCACCUGCUCCGGGCCUGAGAUUCCCAUCCUGCUCUCAGUUUCGGCAGACAAUGUCCUUCUCCUUCCUAAACCUGGUCCUGGCCCCCUUCUCUCCUGCCAGCUCGAAGCCUUCCACCUUUGACCCCAUCCCCUCCUGCAUGCUAAUCAUCUGCGCCGGUAUCGGGAUCCAGGAGCCCUCCCCAACACCCCCUUCUCACCGGGGUGGAGGCAGAGAGGGCACCUGCGGCAGCAGGAGCCCCCUCCCCAGGGAAGGGAGUCUCCACAGCCUGCACGGGGCGGGGGAGCCGGGUGGAGACUGGGAUGAGGGACAACAGGAAGUCCCUCCCAGAUCCCAUUCCCCAUGCAGCCGCAGCCCUACAGCGUUCCCGGUUUUGAGGGUUCCGGGUCUGGAGUCCCGAGCCCGGGUUGCACCUGCUCUUGGCCAAGAGGUAACUCCCAGAUCUGCAAUGCCGGCUUGUGAGGAUGGCUUCACCCACCACGUGUUUGUAAUGCCAGCAAGGCAGGGCCACCAAAAUGGGAAAAUGGGAAGAUG